UACGGAGGGUGCAAGCGUUAUCCGGAUUCACUGGGUUUAAAGGGUGCGUAGGCGGGUAUAUAAGUCAGUGGUGAAAGCUCCGAGCUUAACUUGGAAACUGCCAUUGAUACUGUAUAUCUUGAAUGUCGUUGAGGUUAGCGGAAUGUUGCAUGUAGCGGGGAAAUGCUUAGAUAUGUUACAGAACACCAAUUGUGAAGACAGCUAACUAAGCGAUGAUUGACGCUGAGGCACGAAAGCGUGGGGAGCAAACAGG
rnacentral:rRNA from 1 species